UUCAAAAUGAUUGGUAAAAAAAAGUAAGGUUUAUAAUUGUUUAAUUUGAUAAAUGAUAAUAACUAUUGGAGAUAUCCUAUAAAUUCCCAUAGUUUAUGGGAAGUAUAAAAGAUUGAGAAUCACUGAUCUAGAUAAAGUUUAACUGUUUGAAGGACGCAUUGAAUGAUACGACGUAUCGUUUCAACGCACGGAUAUAUCACGUACCACUUGUUUUUUGAUGGACAUUACUACACAUCUACAUCUACAUAUAUAUAUAUAUAUAUAUAAGUAUUUGUGUAUACGUACGUACAUAUAUAUUAACGUCAAGAAGACGGACAUUACGUACAUCUCUUGGCACUGAAUUGUCGUUCCUCAAAGUAUUCGAAAGUGGAACAGAAUUUCCAUUAAUAAUACGUAUCUACCUGUCGUGUGAUCUCCUUUUGUACAAAAUAAAAUAAAUAAAGAGAGAGAGAAUUUGUUUUACGAGUAGAAAUUACAUGCCUUGUGAAAUUUGGCCUUACAAAUAUUUUUUAAUCUUUCAUGUUCGUUGCUAUAUAUUUCUUUAUUUUUUUUUUUUUUUGCAUUAUCCACUUUUGCAAGAGUAGACUUUUCCUUCUUUGGGGCUCGGCAAUAGCAAAGAUCAUUGGUGCAAAUGUCGUCAAGUUUAAUAAUAAAUUUGCCGAACGUGUACCCAUGUACGUUUAUGAAGAAAUAAUAAAUAAUCAAAAAUUGACAAAUAUAAUUAACGAGUUACACGAAAAUAUAAAAUAUCUGCCAGGACAUAAACUUCCAGAGAAUGUGGUAGCAGUUCCGGACAUCAUUGAAGCUACAAAAGAUGCUGACAUACUGGUCUUCGUUUUACCACAUCAAUUUAUUCGGACACUUUGCGUUACGUUACUUGGACAAAUCAAACCAACUGCUGUGGGUUUGUCGCUUAUUAAGGGUUUUGAUCAAGGAGACGGUACGAAUGUCGAGCUAAUUUCAAAAAUCAUCGAAAAGAAUCUGAGGAUCCAAUGUCACGUAUUGAUGGGUGCUAAUUUGGCAAACGAAGUUGCCGAGGAAAAAUUCUGCGAAACUACCAUUGGCUGCAGGGAUAAACGUUUGGCACCAAUAUUGAGGGAUCUCAUACAAACGCCUAAUUUUCGUGUAGUAGUCGUCGAGGAUACGGAAGCUGUUGAAGUAUGCGGAGCUCUCAAGAACAUAGUGGCAUGUGCUGCUGGCUUCGUCGAUGGCUUAGGAUUAGGAGAUAACACGAAAGCUGCCGUUAUCAGAUUGGGUCUUAUGGAAAUGAUAAAAUUUGUUGAUACUUUUUACGGUGGUUCGAAACUGUCAACAUUUUUCGAGAGCUGUGGUGUAGCUGAUUUGAUUACAACUUGUUAUGGUGGAAGAAAUCGUCGUAUAUGUGAACAGUUUGUUAAAACCGGAAAGACUAUCAGAGACUUGGAAGCGGAACUUCUUUCUGGACAAAAAUUGCAAGGUCCAGCUACAGCUGAUGAGGUCCAUGCAAUGUUAAAAGCUAAAAAUAUGCUAGACAAAUUCCCAUUAUUCACUGCCGUACAACGUAUAUGCCACGAAGAAAUCAGACCGGCUGAUUUAAUUGAUCAAAUUCGUAAUCAUCCUGAACAUGUGUUAGUACAUUCGUGAUAGUUACGAUUGAGCCGUUCGCAGGCCAAAGCGAUUAAUUUCGAUCUUUCGAUUUUUUUUACAAUUUUAUUAUCAAAGCACAUGAUCAAUAUCUAACUUUUUAUAUUUAAAAGAAAUUUCCUUAAUAAUAAGACUUAACACUACUAAAUGAGAACAAUGCUUAUGGUUGUUCAAUAAUAAUAUGAAUUAAUCCCUCAUAUGAAAAAAAAGGAAUAUUUAAAUUUGUAUAAUAUAAACUCAAGAAACAUGAUUUUCCUGUAGGUUCACUCUAAGAAAAUUAUAAUAUUUUAUAAAAUAUUUUCUUUGAAAUACCAAAACAUCGAAAAUUUACUCACACUUUUCUAAAGCAUGUUGCAUGAAAGUAUAAUUGUUACAUUGAGUCGAUUCAACUUGUAAUUCAUAAAAGUUCUUUUUAGGCAGGAUGAGAGUUGAGGGUGCUGUUUAGUAAAAAUCAUAAAUGAAGUGCGCUCAUGGAAAUUCUUGGAUCAAGAAUUCAAAUUUACGUGAAUAAAUGUAGAAUACAUUUAAAAGUUCGAUAAAGGCUGUGUGAUUAGAUGAAGAUCGUUAAAUUACAGGAACAUCCGAUAAAACAUAUUGUAAUUAACGUAUUGUAAAUAAAAAUUUACUCGUUACUGUUGACAA
rnacentral:misc_RNA from 1 species